AAAUUGCCCGGAUCGACACCGCGGGUCACCACCAGGUAGUCGCGAAGCGCGAUGCUGUGCCGCCCUUC
rfam:Mycobacterium abscessus subsp. abscessus strain 57 genome assembly, contig: ERS244815SCcontig000014